rnacentral:lncRNA from 1 species
CCACCGCGCCGGGCCGCUGAGGCUGCUGGGUGGAAACCGCCGCCGCGGGCCCGGGACUGCCUGGAGGCAGAGCCGGCGCCGGAGCGAGCUGCGGAUCUCCAGGCAGGCCUUGCGGAGUUCAUCGCAGUCGGGGCCCAGCACCUCCUGCUCGCACACCCGCCUGUUGACCUGAGGACCACACCCAGCCUGCGCCCGGGGUUACAGCCCUCCGGGGCUCAGCCUGCCCCAGGGGAGAGCCCCUGGCUUGGUACAUUGCAAGGCCUAAAAUUUCAAGGACUGCCUGGACAUCUUUGAGGCUCGCAGAGCUCCAGAGGCCUAACGGUGAAUUCCUCUGCUCUGGCCAGACAUGUCCCCACCCAGCAGGACAGGCUCCCACCCCCUAGGUCCCCUCUCAGCAGACCAGCUGCACCCCACCUGGUCGUCACCCUAAUGGACUUCAGCCCCCUGACAGGCCUUGGAAAUAUUCAAACCAACCAACCACAUCUGCCCGUGGGAACCAGGGGGCAUCUCACUCUCUUGUCACUACAAAGCCAGCUUCCCACUGGCCCUGCAGGUUCACCCUGCUCUGAGCACAAGCCCAGGUGGCCCCGCAUGACAUGCAGUGUCCUCCUCCCCACCCGACUGCAGUACGUGUGACUAAGAACUGCAGUGGAUGGCAUCUGUGCAGCGUCGGCCAUCCUGCGUUUGGUUAUCUUGUAGUAUUGAGGGCAGAGGAUCCCUCCUUCGCCAAUGGAGUUCAUAGGAGGUGAUCAGAAUACCAGGGCUGGGGAGAAGGGCAAACCCAGCUCCUUGCCACUUGUCACCCUGGAACCCCCCAACACACCUCAGUCAGCAGCUCCAGAAGGUCUCUCCCGGGGUUGGCUCUGAGGACCUCCACCAGUGUCUGGAUAAAGUCUGAGCCCUUGUCAUCGCGAUAGGCCACAUAGCCUAGGUCAGGGGAUCAGGGCCAGAGCAUCAGACCAAGGCCCCAACCCUCUGCCUUCCAAUCCCAGGGGUCCUAUUGUUGGUGGAAAGUGGGGUACAAGGAGGCAGGACCCAGGAAUCAGGCAAGAGAACAGGGCAGGGAGCAGGGACUUCUUGCAUCUGGAACAAGUUGUUGCUAGGUAUUUGCAGAGGUGAGCCUAUGGAGAGAUUCACUACUGAACAAACAUUUACUGUGCACCUACUAUGUGCCAGACACUGAGCAGGGCCUUGGGGCAGGCAGGUCUACCCUGGCCUCGUGGAACUCACAGCCUAGAGGAAACCUGCACACACAGUGGUUGGCACAGCUGCGCCUCACAGCACUCACCAUCACUGCUGUUACUACACAUCCUAACCCAUGUAGGGAACAUGGCUGGACCACAGCUGGGCUGGCAUCUCUGUGCCCCAACCCUAAGCCCUAGCUGCCCCUAAGGCUACUCCAGAUCUUAGGCCAGGAAGCUGGGCCCUGUGUAACCACAGGCUCCCGAUGACCCAUCUCCUUACCCUCUGCGGCUGAGUAGACCGUCAGGAUGUCUGCUUGGUCAGAGCUCCCUGGAGGGGUGCCCCUGCAGGAGCUGCCUGCAAGAGGAAUCAAUUCCAGUGAUCAACAUCGUGGAACUCCAUCAGCCCCGGGAGCUCCCCAUCUGUGGCUUAAGGGCAGCCCAGGGAGGUGGAAAGAGUGCAGGGCAGGAAUGACAGACGGAAGUUCAAAGCUCGGCCCAGCCACUUAACAGCUGUGACCUCAGAAAAGCUAUUUGACCUUACCGACUCCAGGGUUCUUGCCAGGCUCCAACAGGGGAAGAAGCUCCCACUUCCCAAAGGCCCUUGCGGUUUAGGAAGAUUUUUUUUCUUCCCAUUGUCUUGGCAAACAGAGGAUGCAGGUGGCAGCCAUACC